ensembl:snoRNA
UUUGAUACUGUGAUGAGCCUAUAGUUCAGCUGAGUCUUUGUGACGAAAAAACCGCUAGUCUUUCGCUCCUAUCUGAUGUAUCAUU